GAUAAAUUAUACCAUCUCGUCCAACUGAACCUGACGUGGGAGGCCGCCAGAGACCAUUGCCAAUUGUAUUACUAUGACCUCGCUGUGAUUGAGUCUGCCGAGGAGAACGAAGAGCUCUAAGACAGAGAAGAACAAAGAUAACAAUGCAGUCCAGCUUGGAUCUGACAAACCCAAACGCUCAGGACAACAUCCUACUACAAAUGUCUGCACAUCUAGCCAGCACCGGAAUGACUGACUUCCACCUGAGCUGGAGCACUCCGCCACAGAAACCUGAUCCAACUGUCUGGAAGGCUGAUAAGGACCAAUGUUAAUGUUAGGUUCACAUAGUUGCAUGGCUUGAUCACUGGCUCCCGAUUCUUGAGUAGUAAAACUAUAUUUUAGUU
rnacentral:lncRNA from 1 species